AUAGUUUUAAUCAAAGAAAUGUACAUUUUUAAACAAGAUAUAAUAUUUCAAAUAGGCCUAGUUUAGAGAAAUACUAUGAUACUCAUGUUACUGAGGAUGUGGUGAAAUGGGCACUCAAUAUAUUGCUGUUGGAAUAUACAUGCACAGCGCUUCUGGAAGGCAAUAUAGCAACAGAUUUCAAAAGCCUUAAAAAUUUGAGUACCCUGUGAUGCAACAAUUCUAGCUCUAUCUCAGUGAAAUAAUUAAGGAUAUGUGCAAACAUUCAGCUCUAAGAAUGUUCAUUAUCACAUUGCUUAUAGUAGUAAAAAGCUGGAAACAAAAGGCCCACAAUUAGAUAUGUGGCAUAGCAAUACUGUAAAAUGAUGUUAAAAAUAUAGUAACAUAUUUCACAUGUGAGAGAAUAUUCAAGAUGGAUGGAUGAAGGGGGCUGCUAUACGACAAUAUGUGCAGCGUGUCUUAGUACACAAGUAUGUUUUGGGAGGUGGUGGGAUUGAGGGGAAUUCGUUUUAUUUUUCCUUCUCUGUUUUCUGGAUUUUCUACAAUAAGCACAUAAUCCUUAUGUAUGUUGAAGGGAAGCAGAAUUAUGCCACCCCAAAACGUACCACUUUGGCAUGAGUUAUUCUGAGCUAAAGCAAAUCAAGACCCAGCAGUCUUAGGAAAAGUUUUUUUUUACUUCUCCUUUACCUGCCUAGAAGAAUUUAGAUAGGGGGCCUGCACCAGAAAGAGCGCUAUUGCCAAAGGUAUUUUAUUUUAUUUUUUUUUAUCUGAAAGACUUAACUCCCGGCAGGGCAAACAUUUGCUCCUCUUGUCUUGCUGUGAACUGCUUUCCUCCCCUUUGAAGCCCUGGCCCCUGGCCCUUUCCUUGGCUCAAGAUAGCCAAGGAAAAUUAACAUUUUUCUCCUGUUAUUCUGUCUUAUGUCCAUUUAGUUAGACCAAAGAAGCUGGACGGGAAUAAGGGAACGUGCAGCUCACCACUGGCUGGAUGCUGCUCAUUCCAGGCUGCUGCAGCUGAGAGACCCUGAGACAAGAGCCAGCGAAAGAAUGCACAGACUCAUAUAUAACCGGACAGUUUUAUGGAACUCAGGUUGACUUUAUGGAGCCAAUAAAGCCCCUUGGAAAACCAGCCUGAUACCCAGCUUACAGGGUCCCCAGUAGCCGUAGCAGGUGAGUAGGAACAUCACUUUCCGGCAAUUGCAGGAACCUCACGAUACCUUGGGGACCCUGAGAACAGAGGAAUGAACUCAAAUAUAUAGCUAUUACAAGCAAAAUCUGAUGGUGAGGCCUUGGCUUGGCUUCCUAGCCUUAAGAGGCUAUAUAGUCUUGCUGUACUUAUACAAAUAAUCAGGCCAAGUUUAUUGAAAGUACACUUAAUUUGCAAACAGAUUAAUUUUACCUUUGAUAGAAACGGGGUGAUUGCAGAGAGAGAAUUUAUGUCAGCAAUACAUCUUUGUGGAUAUCAGAUUUUAGUGCUGUUAACUGUCUUUGAUAUUUUGUUUUCUAUCUGUAAAGUGGACUAGAUCUUGAAUUCUUUUACUUUCCUUCAAUAGUUGGCUACAACUCUCCAAAUUAAUAUUUCUAAAUUAUCGUACUCGAUCUGGAAUCACUAUAUAUAAACAAAAGCUGCCAUUUUCCUGAAGUCCGACAAACUGAAUGUGAAUGUGAUAUAAACUUCCAAGAAAUCACCAGAACAGCUCAUGUAUGGACAAUCUUCAUGUCUGUUGCUGUGCAGGUCACUCAGAAAGUUUACCUGAACAUCCAAGGACAUCAUCAGAGACAUUCAAACUAUAAAAGAUGCUUUUGCCCCGACAUCUAGAAAUCUCAACUGGCUGCCCUCAGAACUAGGUUUAUAGUCUGCUCUAAUCAUUAACCUUCGUUUUCUUUUGUUUCCAUAGACAUACCUCUUAUUAAAUACCUGACUGCUUGUACAAUAAAGGCCUAACUUUAGGAGCUCACCUGUAUCACCCACCGCCUCCUGCAGUGAGAGACACAACUGUUUAACUGACCUGUUCUCAGGACUGGUUUGAUGAGAUGGGGCAAUCUACCAACUCAACUUCUUGACUAUGGAACUUCUUAGUGAAGUUUCAAAGAACCGUACAAUGACAACUGCACAAUGUACCAAAUCAGAAGAGGUUCCGUUUCCAAGUUCUGAUUCGUAAGAGCUUCCAAAGUAGAGCCGGUACACGUUGAAUCUGGAUUCAUCUGGAAGCAUCUC